GUCAGGGCAAGAAAACAAGUUUAGCUGUAUUUUGAUUGGCUUUUUGAUUCCUUUAUAAAAUAAACUUUCACUUGAAAACAUGACAAAAACUACUUAAUUAUACUUACCCAGGUAUCUUAUAUUAACAACAUUUUCAGCUCUACAGGGUGUUUCUGUGAGUGCCCAUGUUUAAAGAGACAGCCCUGAACCAUAGUUCAGUGCAUUAAUAUUUUGAAGUGUGUUGUACCACGAAGUCUACGCAUAUUAAUUCCAGCACUGGGGAACUCUAGGCAGCGGGAUUUCAGGAAGGGAUCUGAUAGGAUUCUGAGCUGCUAAAGGAAAAGCCACUGUCAGAAUGUAACAAGCUAGCUAACACAGUAAACAAUUUGUCAGGGAGCUUUUGCGAAGGUGUGAGAUUUGCCAGGCUGCACAUCAUCACACAGAAACUGUUGAUUAUCAAAGCAGGUUGUCAUAACCGAAUGGGAGAGGGCAGCGCACAGAAAUGUAAAGCAUCUUUGUACGGCACGGCGAAACAAAACAAAGUGUCAAAAAUAGUGCCUCCCAGUUUCGGUCCAAGACAUGAAGAUAAAAAUGUCUUGGAAACGUCUUCCUGUGGCUGCUAGGGUUGUUUUCUGUUUUAUUUGAGCACGUCCUCCCUUGCAGCUCUGGGUUGAACACUGUUUCCAGAGAGAUACGGGAGGUGUGGGGUCCAGCCCUCAGAGAAGGGCACU